rnacentral:rRNA from 1 species
GAUGAACGCUAGCGGGAGGCCUAACACAUGCAAGCCGAGCGGUAUUUCUUCUUCGGAAGAGAGAGAGCGGCGCACGGGUGCGUAACACGUGUGCAACCUACCUUUAUCUGGGGGAUAGCCUUUCGAAAGGAAGAUUAACACCCCAUAAUAUAUUGAAUGGCAUCAUUUGAUAUUGAAAACUCCGGUGGAUAAAGAUGGGCACGCGCAAGAUUAGAUAGUUGGUGAGGUAACGGCUCACCUAGUCAAUGAUCUUUAGGGGUCCUGAGAGGGAGAUCCCCCACACUGGUACUGAGACACGGACCAGACUCCUACGGGAGGCAGCAGUGAGGAAUAUUGGACAAUGGGUGAAAGCCUGAUCCAGCCAUCCCGCGUGAAGGAUGACGGUCCUAUGGAUUGUAAACUUCUUUUGUACAGGAAUAAACCUACUCUCGUGAGAGUAGCUGAAGGUACUGUACGAAUAAGCACCGGCUAACUCCGUGCCAGCCGCCGCCGUAA